rnacentral:rRNA from 1 species
CGUAGGUGGCAAGCGUUGUCCGGAUUUAUUGGGUUUAAAGGGUGCGUAGGUGGUCUUGUAAGUCAGUGGUGGAAUACGGCAGCUCAACUGUCGAGGUGCCAUUGAUACUGCAAGACUUGAGUACAGACGAGGUAGGCGGAAUUGACGGUGUAGCGGUGAAAUGCUUAGAUAUCGUCAAGAACACCGAUAGCGAAGGCAGCUUACUAGACUGUAACUGACACUGAGGCACGAAAGUGUGGGGAUCAAACAGGAUUAGAUACCCUGGUAGUCCACACUGUAAACGAUGAUUACUCGAUGUUGGCGAUACACAGCCAGCGUCUUAGCGAAAGCGAUAAGUAAUCCACCUGGGGAGUACGCCCGCAAGGGUG